rnacentral:rRNA from 1 species
GCCAUGCAUGUCUAAGUAUAAACGAUUUAAUCGUGAAACCGCGAAUGGCUCAUUAUAACAGCUAUAAUUUACUUGAUCUUGACACAAUCCUACUUGGAUAACUGUGGUAAUUCUAGAGCUAAUACAUGCAUUAAAGCUCUGACCUCACGGGAAGAGUGCAUUUAUUAGAACAAAACCAAGCGGCUUCGGCUGUUUCUGGUUGACUCAUAGUAACUGAGCUGAUCGCAUGGUCUUGCACCGGCGACGUGUCUUUCAAGUAUCUGCCGUAUCAACUUUCGAUGGUAGUGUAUCUGACUACCAUGGUGAUCACGCGUAACGGAGAAUAAGGGUUCGGCUCCGGAGAGUUCGCCUGAGAAAUCGCGAACACAUCUAAGGAAGGCAGCAGGCGCGAAAAUUACCCACUCUCAGCACGAGGAGGUAGUGACGAAAAAUAACGAGACCGUUCUCUUAUGAGGCCGGUCAUCGGAAUGGGUACAAUUUAAACCCUUUAACGAGUAUGUA